rnacentral:rRNA from 1 species
CCUACGGGAGGCAGCAGUGGGGAAUAUUGCACAAUGGGGGAAACCCUGAUGCAGCGACGCCGCGUGAGUGAAGAAGUAUCUCGGUACGUAAAGCUCUAUCAGCAGGGAAGAAAAUGACGGUACCUGUCUAAUAAGCCCCGGCUAAUUACGUUCCAGCACGCGCGGUAAUACGUCGGGGGCAAGCGUUAUCCGGAUUUACUGGGGGUAAAGGGAGCGUAGACGGCAGCACAAGUCUGGAGUGAAAUCCCGGGGCUUAACCCCGGAACUGCUGUGGAAACUGUGCGGCUGGAGUGUAGGAGGGGCAAGCGGAAUGCCUGGUGUAGCGGUGAAAUGCGUAGAUAUUAGGAGGAACACCGGUGGCGAAGGCGGCUUACUGGACUGUAACUGACAUUGAGGCUCGAAAGCGUGGGGAGCAAACAGGAUUAGAUACCCGAGUAGUC